UACGGGGGGGCAAGCGUUGUUCGGAAUUACUGGGCGUAAAGGGCUCGUAGGUGGCCAACUAAGUCAGACGUGAAAUCCCCAGGCUUAACCUGGGAACUGCGUCUGAUACUGGAUGGCUUGAAUUCGGGAGAGGGAUGCAGAAUUCCAGGUGUAGCGGUGAAAUGCGUAGAUAUCUGAAGGAACAUCAGUGGCGAAAGCGACUUCCUGGACCAAUACUGACGCUCAUGUGCGAAAGCGUGGGGAGCAAACAGG
rnacentral:rRNA from 1 species